CCUACGGGAGGCAGCAGUAGGGAAUCUUCCACAAUGGGCGAAAGCCUGAUGGAGCAACGCCGCGUGGGUGAAGAAGGUCUUCGGAUCGUAAAACCCUGUUGUUAGAGAAGAAAGUGCGUGAGAGUAACUGUUCACGUUUCGACGGUAUCUAACCAGAAAGCCACGGCUAACUACGUGCCAGCAGCCGCGGUAAUACGUAGGUGGCAAGCGUUAUCGGGAUGUAUGGGGGGUAGAGGGAACGUGGGCGGUCUUUUAAGUCUGAUGGGAAAGCCUUCGGCUUAACCGGAGUAGGGCAUUGGAAACUGGGUGACUUGAGUGCAGAAGAGGAGAGUGGAACUCCAUGUGUAGCGGUGAAAUGCGUAGAUAUAUGGAAGAACACCAGUGGCGAAAGCGGCUCUCUGGUCUGUAACUGACGCUGAGGUUCGAAAGCGUGGGUAGCAAACAGGAUUAGAUACCCCGGUAGUC
rnacentral:rRNA from 1 species